rnacentral:rRNA from 1 species
AUACGGAGGGUGCGAGCGUUGUUCGGAAUUAUUGGGCGUAAAGAGCAUGUAGGCGGUCUGUUAAGUCUGGUGUGAAAGCCCGGGGCUCAACACCGGAAGUGCAUUGGAUACUGGCAGACUUGAGUAUGGGAGAGGAAAGCGGAAUUCCGAGUGUAGGAGUGAAAUCCGUAGAUAUUCGGAGGAACACCAGUGGCGAAGGCGGCUUUCUGGACCAAUACUGACGCUGAGAUGCGAAAGCGUGGGGAGCGAACAGGAUUAGAAACCCUUGUAGUCC